UACGGAAGGCAGCGGUGGGGAAUAUUGCACAAUGGGCGAAAGCCUGAUGCAGCUAUGCCGCGUGUAUGAAGAAGGCCUUAGGGUUGUAAAGUACUUUCAUCGGGGAGGAAAAAACAAAACUAAUAAUUUUAUUUCUUGACGUUACCCGAAAAAGAAGCACCGGCUAACUCCGUGCCAGCAGCCGCGGUAAUACGGAGGGUGCUAGCGUUAAUCAGAAUUACUGGGCGUAAAGAGCACGUAGGUGGUUUUUUUAAAGUCAGAUGUGAAAUCCCUGGGCUUAACCUGGAACUGCAUUUUGAAACUGAAAUACUAGAGUAUCGUAGAGGGAGGUAGAAUUCUAGGUGUAGCGGUGAAAUGCGUAGAUAUCUGGAGGAAUACCUGUGGCGAAAGCGGCCUCCUAAACGAAUACUGACACUGAGGGUGCGAAAGCGUGGGGAGCAAACAGGGAUUAGAUACC
rnacentral:rRNA from 1 species